AGCAUUUUGCUAUACUAUAAAAUGUAUGACCUGCCCAGUGAAAAUUUAACGGCCGCAGUAUUUUGACUGUGCAAAGGUAGCAUAAUCAAUUGCCUAUUAAUUGUAGGCUAGAAUGAAUGGUUAAACUUAAUUAAGCUUUUUUAAUAUUUAGCUUGAAUUUUUAAUUUUUGUAAAAAUACUUAAAUGUUAAUUAAUGACGAGAAGACCCUAUUGAGUUUUACAUACAAUUAUUUAUCCUAAGUAGAAGAUUUAUAGAUUUAUUCCUAUGUUUUACUGGGGCGGUAAUCUAUAUACAAACAUAGAUUUUUCCUAUUCUAGAGCCACUAAAUUAGUGAAUAUGAUUAAAUUACUGUAGGGAUAACAGCGUAAUAUUAAUUGAAAGUUCUAAUUAAAAUUAAUGUUUGCGACCUCGAUGUUGAUUUAAGAUACCUUUUAGGAGCACAGUAUUUAAGAGGUGGCUUGUUCAGCCAUUUAAUUCUUAUG
rnacentral:rRNA from 1 species